GACGAACGCUGGCGGCGUGCUUAACACAUGCAAGUCGAGCGGAGCGGCGAACGGGUGAGUAACGCGUGAGUAAAUGCCCCCCUCUCUGGGAUAACAGUUGGAAACGGCUGCGAAUACCGGAUAGUGGGGGAUGACUCGCGUCCAAUCAGCUGGUUGGUGGGGUAGUGGACUACCAAGUGUACGACGGGUAGACGGCCUGAGAGGGCGACCGGCCACAUUGGGCUGAGAGACGGAGCAAACGCCUACGGUAGGCAGCAGAGGUGAAUAUUGCACAAUGGCGGAAACCCUGUUGCAGCAACGCGCGUGCGUGAUGACUGGUUUCGGGUUGUAAACCGCGUUCAGCCAUGACGCGGUAGUUGCAGAAGAAGCAACGGCUAACUACGUGCCAGCCGCCGCGGUAAUUC
rnacentral:rRNA from 1 species